AUUGAACGCUGGCGGCAGGCCUAACACAUGCAAGUCGAGCGGAUGAAGGGAGCUUGCUCCUGGAUUCAGCGGCGGACGGGUGAGUAAUGCCUAGGAAUCUGCCUGGUAGUGGGGGAUAACGUCCGGAAACGGGCGCUAAUACCGCAUACGUCCUGAGGUAGAAAGUGGGGGAUCUUCGGACCUCACGCUAUCAGAUGAGCCUAGGUCGGAUUAGCUAGUUGGUGGGGUAAAGGCCUACCAAGGCGACGAUCCGUAACUGGUCUGAGAGGAUGAUCAGUCACACUGGAACUGAGACACGGUCCAGACUCCCACGGGAGGCAGCAGUGGGGAAUAUUGGACAAUGGGCGAAAGCCUGAUCCAGCCAUGCCGCGUGUGUGAAGAAGGUCUUCGGAUUGUAAAGCACUUUAAGUUGGGAGGAAGGGCAGUAAGUUAAUACCUUGCUGUUUUGACGUUACCAACAGAAUAAGCACCGGCUAACUUCGUG
rnacentral:rRNA from 1 species